CCGUGCCGUUGUUCUCGUCGUUCUCGAAUCUCGACCCGGAGUCGAUCCACACCCCGACCGUCGCGGUCUUCGCGGCCAGGUUCGACUCCGUCGCGACUCUCAGACCGUUCGGGAGGACCGUGACACGUGUCUCCGGCGCGGUGAGGAUGUGCGAGUGAUCCGUCACGGCCGGGUGAGGCGACCCGUACUUGAGGAACCUCGGGUCAGGGUUCUCGAGCUUCUGGAGCUUCGAUUUGACGUCCUCGGCGAGGCGAUCGUAGACCAUGGCGGUCGGCGGCGGCGGCCUGGGGAGCGGGGUUGAGAGCGAGGGGCCUGCGACGGCCGUGGAGCUGGAUCGGACGGCCUGCUUCAUCGCCGGCGACCGGCGGCGAGCCAGCGCAGUGAGGAGGUGCUUCAUCGUCAUGGUUGUAGCUCAGAGAGAGCUCCUAGGGUUUGGUGAGAG
rnacentral:lncRNA from 1 species